AAAAGCGGAGGAAAAGAAACCAACAGGGAUUGCCUCAGUAACGGCGAGUGAAGCGGCAACAGCUCAAAUUUGAAAUCUGGCCUCACGGUCCGAGUUGUAAUUUGUAGAGGAUGCUUUUGGCAAGGUGCUUUCCGAGUUCCCUGGAACGGGACGCCAUAGAGGGUGAGAGCCCCGUACGGUAAGACCACCGAGCCUCUGUAAAGCUCCUUCGACGAGUCGAGUAGUUUGGGAAUGCUGCUCUAAAUGGGAGGUGUACGUCUUCUAAAGCUAAAUACCGGCCAGAGACCGAUAGCGCACAAGUAGAGUGAUCGAAAGAUGAAAAGCACUUUGAAAAGAGGGUUAAAAAGUACGUGAAAUUGUUGAAAGGGAAGCAUUCAUGACCAGACUUGGGCUUGGUUGAACAUCCGGCGUUCUCGCCGGUGCACUCUGCCAGUCCAGGCCAGCAUCAGUUUGCCCCGGGGGACAAAGGCGGUGGGAAUGUGGCUCCCUUCGGGGAGUGUUAUAGCCCGCCGUGUAAUGCCCUGGGGCGGACUGAGGAACGCGCUUCGGCACGGAUGCUGGCGUAAUGGUCAUCAAUGACCCGUCUUGA
rnacentral:rRNA from 1 species